CCAGACGGACCGCCGAAUCACCACUGAAGUGAACCGGGGAACCAUCGCGGUACGCCGUCCCAAAGCGGCGUACCGCUGGGGUGAAUCCGCGACAACGUGCCGCGGUAGGGCGACUUCUUCCCGCCCGAAUCCGUCAGCUAACCCGGUAGGCGGUCGCCGGCCGGUGUA
rnacentral:sRNA from 2 species